GCGGGCUGCCCGAGCCCGUAGUGGUAACCUGGUGGGUUUGUUUUCCAUCCUGUGGAGGCGGUUUUUUUUUUUAUGUUUUGGGUUUACACUGUUUUUGUGAGUUGUAACGCUUAUCACGAAAGUCUGCAGUUUCAGUCUUGAGGUUAGCGAGACUACAAAACCACCAGGAAGAACGAACGAUUCCAGACGCGCUACCUUGAGAACUGUAACACUCACGGAGAAAGUCUGUAGCUUCGUUUCUGAACGAGCGAGACCACCGAAUCCACCGGACGGAAAAAACUCUCAACACAUCCGAAUAUGGGAAGGAGCAAACUCCAGAAACGCGCCUUUAAGAACUAAGUAACACUCAACUGCGAGGGUCUGCGGCUUCAUUUUUGAAGUCAGACCGAGAACCUACGGAUUCCGGACACAAGUCCAGCUCGUGAGGUCCAGAACCCCUGGCUGCCAGCACAUUCUCCUGUUGGGCUGACCCAGAUCCUCCUGGCUGCAGUGGACGGGAGGACGCUGAGAAAAGCAGCACAGAUAGAGACACCAAGAAAAUCAGCAUCCUGGCCAUGCCUCACAGGUCAUCAAGGCCCUCAGCAUGGUCACCCAAGGAGGCUGAGCCCUCUGUAACCUGGCCAGCUUCAGUUCCCGGAACGUUUGCUGAAACUGUCAGCAAGCACAUGGAUUUCAAUGCAAUUACAAAAGCUAUAAGAACAAGAAGUGCAUUCAUUCAUUAGCAAAUUACACUAAAUUAUCUUAGCAAAUAAGGCAAAAUGUCA
rnacentral:lncRNA from 1 species